rnacentral:ribozyme from 1 species
GGAUUGGCAACGGUGGACUUCACGAUUGGGAAUCCAUUGACGGAGGUUAUGCAAGGACGGUUGCACUUGUACCGAAGGUUAGUAGGGGAGGGCAGCUCUAACGGAGUUAAUGGAGUAGGAAA